GAAAAACACAAAGCAGCCAGAGGGAGGCCAUGGACAAGUGGUUGAAAUGUGUAUCCUUGUGACUUCUACCCAUCAGUCCCAGGUCUGCCCUUUGGAGCCAAUGGAAAAAAGUUUCAUUCUUGCUCCAUUAGACAGUUGGUUCUUCAGAUAUCAGAAGACAGUUCUAGCUUGAAAUACCAUGAGUGAGAAUGCCCUUAUAAGCACGGUGCACUCAGCCAUGAAAGGAACAGGAAGUGAUCAAGUCCUCGAGCGAUGAGUGGGAUGAAGAGGUUCUGCACCCUGAUCUUUCAAGGCUUAAUUAAACAGCCAACUUGAAAUGACUACAGCUUUAUAAAAGAGAUGCUAAACUAAAACAAAGAACACAGAAGGGCAAGGAAGAGGACUUCUUCUCAAUAAGUGGUAGUCACCUAGCAACUGUUCUCUUAUUGGGGAAGUUAAAACCUAUAGAAGAAAGAAAAAAUUUAGAGAUUUUGAUACCAAGUAAAAUGGCUGAAAAUCCUGAAGAAGCUCUCCCAAGUAUUGGGAAGGUUAAACUGCAUACGAGUUUCAGAUGGAAGUUUCAGGUUGGUUAAUUCUACUUGACUUUAGUGUUAUAACCAGCGUUCAAUUAAGCAGUGAUUGAUAACUAUUAAAGGAUUUGUCCAGAAGGAACUAAGAUGUACCUUUGUAUAAAAAAAUCUUUGUAUCCUAUUUAAGCAUAUUUAGAUCAAUAAUAACUGUUUAUACUUAGCUGUUGUGAUAAUUAGCUCUGUUUUUAUAAAAAAAGCUUAAUUUAAUGGAAGAAUGCAAUAUUGCCUUUGUCUCAGUUGGUUACAGCUGUGUAUGAGAAGCUAAACCUUUAGAAGUAUGAAGCCACAUGUAAGACAUCAUUGCCUACCUGGUGGAAUUUUAUUCUAAUUGCAAGUGAAAUACUAGUAAAGAAAUAUACAGCCUUUGGAAAGCUAGCCUUACGAACUCAGCCCUUUAAAUUGUUGGCAAACAUUGUACCUGGAUUGGAGGCAAGAGGGGGCUGUUUGUUUGCUUCUUUUGUGCCUGACUAGCUUAGUGCAGCCUACUAAUGAACUAAAGGUUAUGAAUUUUAUCUUUGUGUGUAUUAGGCAGCUUUGUUCCCUUCCAUGGCCCCAAACUACAUCUCCAAGCCUUCUAAAUAUGCAUCAUAGAGUUAGCCCUACUAAAAAUGCAGCUUCAUCUCCUACGGAAGGCCCCAGUUAAGCAACUAGAAGGGUAUGCUACAUCUCUUCUCCAUUAUUCUCAGUUUGGCUAGGGAGAAAUGCCAAAGGAGAAGCUAUCCAUUUUGGGAAACCUCAUCUGUCCCUUAUUCUGUCCUCCCCCACAGAUAUCAUUUGAAUAUUUUAGUGACUCUUGGCCUUUUGUAGCCAAUCUCUCAUCACGAGUCAGAACCAGCUGUUGUAAAUUCACUAGCAACUUUUCCCUUAAAAAAAGAAAAUCAUACAAAUAGUGAAUGCUAUUUUUUAAGCCUUCAACCCAAUUAAAACUCCCUUCUUAUUGGGUCAGAGCUCAAUUUGUUCUUGAUUGAAACCUCGAUUAUAGUGAAAUGCAUGUCUUUUCUGGUACCACAAAUAAAGCAUAUUUUGUGAAGGAAUAAUGUUCAUAUUAUCACAGGACAUUAUAAAAAAUAAACAGACCAAAUGAAAGAUGCUCAUGAUAAUCAGCAAUGCCAUUUCUGUUGAAAUGCCUGUACUGUAAUAUAGUAACACACCUUCCCCAGCCCCCCACUUGACUUUAUUUAAAUAAACAUGUCUUUCUUUUCCUCUAUA